rnacentral:rRNA from 1 species
CCCUUAGAUGUCCGGGGCCGCACGCGCGCUACACUGAAGGAAUCAGCGUGGCUUUCUCCCUGACCCGAAAGGGUUGGGAAACCCGUUGAAUCUCCUUCGUGAUAGGGAUUGGGGCUUGAAAUUGUUCCCCAUGAACGUGGAAUUCCCAGUAAGCGCGAGUCAUAAGCUCGCGUUGAUUACGUCCCUGCCCUUUGUACACACCGCCCGUCGCUACUACCGAUUGAACGGUUUAGUGAGGGCCUCGGAUUGGUCUCGGCCCGCUCUUUACCGGGCGGCGCCGUUGGUCGAGAAGACGCUCGAACUUGAUCGUUUAGAGGAAGUAAAAGUCGUAACA